CACAAGAGGAAAUGUCCGGCUUUGGUCCUUAAAUUAGACUUCAGGAAAGCUUUCGACUCCAUCUCUUGGGACAACCUUUGCAACAUCCUCGAGGCAAAAGGCUUCUCGAACACUUGGAUCCUUUGGAUCAUGAUGUUAAAUAACACUAGCCAAUCAGCUAUCCUUCUUGACGGUGUCCCAGAAAAUUGGAUCCAAUGCAAAAGUGGCCUAAGACAAGGUGACUCCCUCUCACCGUACCUAUUUAUAAUCAUUGCCGACAUCCCGCAAUGCAUGAUAUUGGAUGCCUCUGCCCAAGGCUUGUUGCAUCAUCCAAUUCUUCUAAAUGCUCCUUGCCCGGUGCUUCAGUAUGCUGACGACACCCUCAUUAUCAUCAAGGCAGACCCGGAGCACCUAGCCCACCUUAAGUAUAUUCUACAGACAUUCUCCCUAGCCACUGGUCUUAGCAUCAACUUUGAAAAAACACUUUCGCCCCAAUACACGUUGACCCUCAGACCGCCUCCACAAUGGCAUCUACUUUGGGUUGUACCGUUGUUUCUUUUCCCCAAAACUACCUUGGAUUGCUCUUAUCUACGCACAAGCUUCGGCUGA
rnacentral:rRNA from 1 species